UGGUAGACAGGCUCGGUUUAAAUGGCUGUUCCUGUUAAAUGGCUCACAAGGAAUAAGGGAGCUCUGACCGGACAAAGGCAGCCCACGCACCUGUGCUCUGGGCCCAUUCUUCAGCUCUGGGAGCAGAGACUCCGGCAUCCUGACUCAGGUUAUUCCUCCUGGGAGAAACAAGUUGACAUGUUUGAAGGUUACAGGCGCUGUGAAGUACUGAAGUGUCUAACCAGCGGCCAGUGAGGCCUGAAAUAAAGCCUGCCAAUAACCACAUGGACAAGCUCGAAAGUGUAUUUCCUGGUCCCACUUGAGCUUUGAGAGAUAACUGAAGCCCCAGUUGACAACUCUGUGAGAAUCCUAAGCCAGAACUACCCAGCUAAACUACUACAGAUUACUGAUCCUUCCCACAUCGAACUACUUGGUUUACAUCCUGGCCACUCCCUUUCCUAAGCAGCUUUCUGCUAAUGUGCACCUGGGAGGCAGCACUGAUGGCUCAAGUACUUGGGUCCCUGCCACCCAUGUGGGAGACUUGGAUGGAGUUUUUGGUUCCUGACUUUGGCCUGGUCUAGCCCUGGCUGGUGCAGCCAUAUGGGCAAUGAACAACAGACAGAAGAUGUCUCCCUCCAUCUUUCAAAUAAAGCGGAAAGACAGAAAGACAGAAAGAAAGAGAAAGAGAAAGAGAGAGAGAAAGAGAGAAAGAAGGGAGGAAGGAAGGAAGAAAGGAAGGAAGCCAGCACGGUGGCUCACUAGGCUAAUCCUCUGCCUGCAGCGCUGGUACCCUGGGUUCUAGUCCCGGUUGGGGCGCCAGAUUCUGUCCCAGUUGCUCCUCUUCCAGUCCAGCUCUCUGCUGUGGCCUGGGAAGGCAGUGGAGGAUGGCCCAAGUCCUUGGGCCCUGCACCCACAUGGGAGACCAGGAGGAAGCACCCGGCUCCUGGCUUUGGAUCGUUGCAGCGCGCUGGCUGUAGUGGCCAUUUGGGGGGUGAACCAAUGGAAGGAAGACCUUUCUCUCUCUCUCUCUCUCUCACUGUCUAACUCUGCCUGUCAAAGAGAGAGA